rnacentral:rRNA from 1 species
AUUGAACGCUGGCGGCAGGCCUAACACAUGCAAGUCGAACGAGUGGCGGACGGGUGAGUAAUGUAUGGGAACCUGCCUGAUGGAGGGGGCUAACUACUGGAAACGGUAGCUAAUACCGCAUACCAUCGGAUGUGCCCAUAUGGGAUUAGCUAGUAGGUGGGGUAACGGCUCACCUAGGCGACGAUCCCUAGCUGGUCUGAGAGGAUGAGCAGCCACACUGGGACUGAGACACGGCCCAGACUCCUACGGGAGGCAGCAGUGGGGAAUAUUGCACAAUGGGCGCAAGCCUGAUGCAGCCAUGCCGCGUGUAUGAAGAAGGCCUUCGGGUUGUAAAGUACUUUCAGCGGGGAGGCGUUACUCGCAGAAGAAGCACCGGCUAACUCCGUGCCAGCAGCCGCGGUAAUAC